rnacentral:lncRNA from 1 species
CCCGGCCUUGGGUCCCCGGGGCCGCUGACUGGCCUCGGUCACCUCCCGGGGAAGGCUCCCGCGCCUCCAUCUGCCCCCGCAGGAAGGGACCCUCUUCUCGCCCGCGAGGCUUCUCCGGGUGGGAUCGUCCUGGCCCCCAGCCCUAAGGGAUCCGCCCCCUCCGAGCAUCCGCCGCCCCUCGGAGACCACUCCAGCUCGGACGGAGCCACUCCAGCCCCCGCUGCACGCGGAAGCGCUCAUCCUCCCCGCCUGCCCCGUUCCCUCCCCCUUCUCCUGUGCGACAACCAGGGACCACAGCUCCCCGCUCCCCAGGUGUGGGGGCUCCGACACGAACGCCUCUGCUCGCAGGGCGGUGAGCGCAGAUCCCACGGGUCCCUCGGUCGGGGGUCGAGGCUGCUUCCGUUUCCAUCCCGGACCCGACAAUGGGCGGGAAAAAGAAGGCUUUACACGACUACGCGGCGGAGUUCACCGACCUGGUGGUGAAGCACCUGAUUGAGCACAGUGACUCUGGGGACACGUCUGUGGUGGAGACCCUUUACUGCAGGGCCUGCGAGCUGCCCGUGCGCGUGCGGAGGGACCGCAUCCUGGAACACCUGUCCUCGGGCAGGCAGCACGGCCUGCGGACGCCCAUUCUCAUGUAAAUGUCAGUGCCAACGCUGGUGUUUCAGGAGACAUCCCAGCGGGCUGCGGGCUAUUUUAGGAUUCUCUGCCCUGCAAACGUUUCCAAAGUGCGUGGACAGGCCGCCUGAUGACACUACGUUUACGGGAUCUGCUAGUGGCUUGCCUACUUAGGGAGUAAACCCUGUGAAGUCUCGCAGUUUUAUUAAAGUGUGCGUGGCCACCUGAAUGCUGCCUUAUCACAAGCCAGAUACAUACUGGUCUGCAGGGUAACUCCCCACUGUUGAUCCUCUGAGAUGAUUGUGGACUGGGUGCUGUGAGUCCUGCCACUUUGUUUAAGUGAAUGUGUCUUUUGUCCAGCUCAGCCGCCUCGGAUCUCGCUGCCACCAGCCUUACUGCACACCCGUGCCACCCGCCCUUGCCCCGUCAGCCUCAGCCUCAGCUCAUUCUCUCAGGCAGUCCCAGCAUUGGCACGGUACCUCCUCCCGCUGUGGGCCACACGUCUCUGCUCCCUGUCAACCCUACUGCCAUCAGCACCACCACCAGCGACUUGUCUGCCCAGGAGGAUGCAACACCAUCUGCCUCCACCGGCCACCUUUCAGUGUUUCCUGCUUUCCAAGUAAAGAUACCAGCAGUGCCCGCAGAGCAGACCAGCCAGAGAUUUUCUGAAGCCUCCCACAGGGUGCUCCCCGGAGGAGGCCCGAGAUGCUCUCGUGACUUUGGAGCCGGGGUGGCUGGCCACCUUGGCCUGGGCAUCUUUGGGAUGGGCUUCGGGAGCCCGGCACUGCUGCAGAGUGUGGUGGAUGAGAACAGCUGCUGCUUGCUGUACGUGGUGGAGGACCAGCUGUGUGAUGUGGAGCGAGCCUUCAGAGCUGAGCAUUUGGGCCAACACCAGAGUGGUUCGGGAACAGGAUGCAGACAUUGUCCUCAACGACCAGCGGCACUUUGAUCCGGUUUUCCAGUUCUUGCACAAGCAAGUUUUUGUCAGCCACGCCCUGGGGAGGAUCCACUGGAUCACCGCCGUCACAGCCUGUUCCCGGUGGCCUCUCCGGCUUCCCUAAAGAGAGCAGGUGGGCAUCUGCGUUGUUGGGGGAAUGCACAGCGUUGUGGCAUCUGUGUCCAUGUCACGUGGUUCCCUGUGACCCAGAACCCUCCAAUGCUUCUCGCCAGUAGCUUCCCUGGAGACCAGAAGCCAGAGCUCACCCUCCCUUGUGUCCAGGUGGGACUUUCUACAACGCUGCUAUGCACGACGCGGAUGCCGUAUGCAUGUUGCUGGGGGAAGCCACUCCGGACACUGUGUUUUCUCUGGGACAUGUCUUCUGCCCAGAUAUGGCCGCCUUAAAAGAUGCAGAUGCUGUUGUGAUCAGCAUGAAGUUUCCCUGUGAGGCUGUGGUCAGCGUGGACAUCAGCCAGCACUGCACAGACAGCUGCGACCAGGACGUCAGCCAGCACUGCACAGACAGCUGCAACCAGGACGUCAGCCAGCACUGCACACACAGCUGCGACCAGGAUGUCAGCCAGCACUGCACAGACAGCUGCAACCAGAGACUGGAGGUGACGCCUGCCCUUUUCCACCCUUCGCCAGUCCACUGUGAAAAGCUGGGUUGAUUGUGCAGGUUAGAUAGAGGUCAUCAGCCAGGUUGAUUGUGUGGGUUAGAUAGAGAUCAUCAGCCUGGUGGAUUGUGUGGGUUAGAUAGAGAUCAUCAGCUGGGUUGAUUGUGCGGGUUAGAUAGAGGUCAUCAGCUUGGUUGAUUGUGCGGGUUAGAUAGAGAUCAUCAGCCUGGUUGAUUCUACAGGUUAGAUAGAGAUCAUCAGCUGGGUUUAUUGUGUGGGUUAGAUAGAGAUCAUCAGCUUGGUUGAUUGUGCGGGUUAGAUAGAGGUCGUCAGCCGGGUUGAUUGUGCGGGUUAGAUAGAGAUCAUCAGCCGGGUUGAUUGUGUGGGUUAGAUAGAGAUCAUCAGCCGGGUUGAUUGUGUGGGUUAGAUAGAGAUCAUCAGCCGGGUUGAUUGUGCGGGUUAGAUAGAGAUCAUCAGCCGGGUUGAUUGUGCGGGUUAGAUAGAGAUCAUCAGCCGGGUUGAUUGUGUGGGUUAGAUAGAGAUCAUCAGCCGGGUUGAUUGUGUGGGUUAGAUAGAGGUCAUCAGCCGGGUUGAUUGUGUGGGUUAGAUAGAGAUCAUCAGCCGGGUUGAUUGUGUGGGUUAGAUAGAGAUCAUCAGCCGGGUUGAUUGUGUGGGUUAGAUAGAGGUCAUCAGCAGGGUUGAUUGUGUGGGUUAGAUAGAGGUCAUCAGCCGGGUUGAUUGUGUGGGUUAGAUAGAGGUCAUCAGCCGGGUUGAUUCUGUGGGUUAGAUAGAGGUCAUCAGCUGGGUUGAUUGUGUGGGUUAGAUAGAGGUCAUCAGCCGGGUUGAUUGUGCGGGUUAGAUAGAGGUCAUCAGCUGGGUUGAUUGUGCGGGUUA